rnacentral:rRNA from 1 species
CCCUUAGAUGUUCUGGGCUGCACGCGCGCUACACUGACAUACUCAGCAAGUUUCCUUUCCCGAAAGGGUUGGGUAAUCUUGUUAGUGUAUGUCGUGAUGGGGAUAGAAUAUUGUAAUUAUUGCUCUUUAACGAGGAAUUCCUAGUAAGCGCAAGUCAACAGCUUGCGCUGAUUACGUCCCUGCCCUUUGUACACACCGCCCGUCGCUCCUACCGAUUGGGUGAUCCGGUGAAUGGUUCGGACUCUGGCUAUGCUAGCUACUAGCUACGUCAGGGAAAGUUCUGUGAACCUUACCACUUGGAGGAAGGAGAANUCGUAACA